UUUCAGAUCAUUUGGUUAUUGGAUUAUAUGAAGUGAAAAAAACUUCUUUGAUACACUGUACUUGGUAAAAGUCUAAAAUGUUAUCAGAUGGUGUUCAAAGUUUGUGUAUUUUUUUUCUGUCUCACUUUCUCUCUUUCCCUCUCUCUUUCUUUUUUAACAGUUGGAUCCACUUGAACAAGCAAAAGUGGAUUUGGUUUCUGCAUACACAUUAAAUUCAAUGUUUUGGGUUUAUUUGGCAACCCAAGGAGUUAAUCCUAAGGAACAUCCAGUAAAACAGGAAUUGGAAAGAAUCAGAGUAUAUAUGAACAGAGUCAAGGAAAUAACAGACAAGAAAAAGGCUGGCAAGCUGGACAGAGGUGCAGCUUCAAGAUUUGUAAAAAAUGCCCUCUGGGAACCAAAACCAAAAAAUGCAUCAAAAGUUGCCAAUAAAGGAAAAAGUAAAAGUUAACUUUUUGGUUUUGAUGUACACAUAUUCAAAAAGUACAUCUCCCCCCCCCCCCCCCCCGCAAAAUAAUUCUGUGGCAGGGCAAGGUUUAAAUGUGUUUCUUAUUAAUAUGUAAAUUCACAGUAAAUAUGUAAAGCUAAAUACUUUCCUCUCCAAAGAUCAUUAUCUUUAUUGA
rnacentral:sRNA from 1 species